UACGUAGGGUCCGAGCGUUGUCCGGAAUUACUGGGCGUAAAGAGCUCGUAGGUGGUUUGUCGCGUUGUUCGUGAAAACUCACAGCUUAACUGUGGGCGUGCGGGCGAUACGGGCAGACUUGGGUACUGCAGGGGAGACUGGAAUUCCUGGUGUAGCGGUGGAAUGCGCAGAUAUCAGGAGGAACACCGGUGGCGAAGGCGGGUCUCUGGGCAGUAACUGACGCUGAGGAGCGAAAGCGUGGGGAGCGAACAGG
rnacentral:rRNA from 1 species